CGAAAAUCAACACAGUCACUCUUAAGAAGAACCAGCUAUUUUUUCAUUUUUUUUGUUAAUUGUCUUGAUCUUUUUUUUAUUUUGCAACUUGUCUGUUGCUGUUGUUUUCUGUUGUUUUGCUUAGGUUUGAUUAUUCUGUUCUGUUAUUGUUGUUUCUAUUCUAUUGCCUUAUGGAAAAUAAUUGUGAAGUCAUAAUGACGAAAUUUGUAUAAAUCUAGUUUUAUAAUAGGUUGUGUUGUUAGGUUAUCUACUUCUGAAUUUGGUAUUUAACCUAGUUAAUCAAAUGAACAUUUUUAUCAUGUUAAAAUUGCUAGAGGCCUAGCAGGCCUACUCAAACUUUUAAUUAAUUGUAGUCCUAGCGAACUCAGCCCCGUCUAGCUUCUAGGUUUUUAUUGAUAACAAAUAAUUUGCAUGUUAGUCUAGCUUUUAUCUGCAAGUUGACUGGUAGGCCUAGCUCUAAAACAAUCUCAGUUAAAAUAUCUUAACAGCAUUGUACUUCUGUUGAGAAAGAGUUAACAACUUAUUAAAAUCAUAGGUUAGUGGUCAGUUUUGGUUAACUUCUUACUGUAAAGCCCUCAUUUUAUUAGUAUAGGCUUCAAGAAACCCAUUAUUAACAUUAAGUUACCAACAUACUUUUCAUUAAAGAACUGGACCUAGGUAUUAGCCUAAUUCCUUUGUAAAUUUAUAUAAGUAAGGAAUGUGAAUUCCAAGUCUAAAAAUAAAGUUUCAACUUAAAUGUUAACCAUCAUAGGCUAGGCCUAUCUUAUACGGCAAAAUUAAGUGUCAUUCGUGUGGUAAAAAUAGGCCUACCCUAGUUUAAUAAUCUGAUCAAGGUAGGGUUAUGUACCUAUACUUAAAUUUAAUAGGGUUUUACAUGAGCUUUUUUGGGAAGACAAAUUUCAAACCCACUUAGGCUGUGAUGCUGUUUUAUGGGUUUUCUUAAUAAAAUAAGAAAGGGGUUUCCUGACUUGUUUGAACACCAAUAUUUUAAGUAUCAAUAGAAACUUUAAAUGGCUACCAUUUCACAACGGGUGAACCUUAUGAGACAUGGUUUCCGACAUUGAUCCCACUUAACCAGCCCUGUAAAAUGAUGUGCAUAUUUACCUUUGCUUAACUUACCCUACAUUUAAGAUUUUGUAGGCCUACUUAAGGACGUACUCCCCAUGGGCCGUCCCCCCGUGGAGGUAAAACAAUGGUAAUGCUAGUAAAAAGUAGUUUUUAUACAUAGGCCUAGGCCUAUAUGUAGUUAAAUUGCAAAGUUUUAAUUUUCCAACCAAUUUGGUUAAAAAGAUAUUUAACUCAAGAGGUGUCCAGACCUUUUGAACAUCCAGUAUAAGAAUUGAUAGGCUAAGUUAAUACAAUGGUGUCGGAUAUGAAAGUUUUGCCAAAUCUAUCUUAUACAAGUAAAACUUAAGUAAGUUAACUUAUAUUAGGCCUACUUAAAAAAUAAAUAAAUUUAACAAAACUACAAAUAAAUAACCAACAAAUAGGCUUUAACCAAUGUAAGAACUAGAUUCAGGUACACGUAAACGUUAGAAAAGUAGGUUAACUUAGUUAUAGGCUUACCAGUCUAUCCUGAAGUGUUGCUAGCCUACUUUUAUGUGCUUAUGGAAAGAAAUAAUUUGUUUUACUGUAUUCUUUGAUCUUGUAUAAUACAUUAUUAAGACAUUAACAGAUGCAGCUUUCUAGGUUAACUUAUACGAGCCUUAAUGUGUUGUUUGAUGGUAGUUGCUGAUUUUAAAUUUUGCGGGAUAUUUUUAUUACUUCUACCAAGUGUUUACUACUGUGUAACUCAAAAUUACCAAUCUGACGACUUCAAGCAAAUGCUAAAACAAUACCUUUCCUUAAAAUUACUCUUGUUGUCGUUUGGUUUAAAUCGACCUGAUGAUUUUAAUACCUUUCUUUCAGAUGAAACAAGAAUGAAGAAACUGAGUCCAAUCUCUACAGCAUCACAAAUAUCAUCAAUGUUUAUUUUGUUUGGAAAUAGAUAAAUAUAUGUGACUUAUAUAUGCCUCUGACGGACCAGUCUAUUUGACCUGGUGGUUUUUGGUGGUAUUUUGUGCUAAUGUGUGGUUUCAACGCAAGUUGAAGCCUAUAUAAGUUACCCGUACUUUGUGAUUGAUUAGAGUGACUAUCUUAAAGUUUUGAGAUUUAUGUUAGAAUCUUAAUAAGUACUGGGAUUUAAAGAAUUUGCACCUACAAAAUUUAAAAAACAAAUUAUAUAACCCUUACUUUUUUUGUUAGACCACAUUUUGUAUGUGCUCGAUGGAAUUGUGAUCACAAGGUCUAUAUCUAUAUAAUCCUUAGACCUAGCGCUGUCCAGUUGCUAAAAUACUGAUUAGAUUCGGACUUCUAAAACUGUUCUUGCUGGCUUAUUGAAUAAAAUGUCGCUUUUAUUAAAUUUACCUCUUGGCUCAUUGGACCUUUCAAUACUGGUUGUAGACCAAAGAACCAGUUUGUAAUUGUGAGGCCAAACUACAAAAGACUUGUCACUCACACUCAUUAAACACUUGUUUCACUUUUUAUAGGUACCUUGUUAGAAAUUUGCCCAAGAUACAUUACCAACUUAUUUUCAAGAACUUUUAAUUGGAGUUUUGUAAAACCUUGAAUUUGUAGUAGCUACUAGAAGAAACUUGUUGUCAUUAGCUUUUUAAACAUAUUUAAUUAAGCUUUAUUAUGUUAUUACUUUAACAUAGGGAUGGGAUGUGUAGUUCUAUUAAUACUCGUUAAACUUAGCUUAACUGUAGACCUAAGUUAAAGUUAUCCCUAGUUUUUAAUCAAAAUUACGUAGUUGAAGUGAGCCAUUGACAGAUCAAACCGAUGUAAAUUGCUGAUUUAUGUCGCAAAUGCAGACUUUUUCCAUCUCAAACUGAUAGGAUGCCUUAUUGUCAGCUGUAGCAUCUUAUAUGUCACGUCAACUAUCUCGGUAACUAUUAUAAGGUAGAAAAAUAAUUAAAAUGUAAAGUAUAUUCUUCACCAGUCAACUCAACCUUUCUCGUUUACUUUGCACAAGAUGUUCUUGUUGCAAAGUAUGUUCUUGUUGUUGUUCUAUGUUACUUAUUUUACAUAAAAAGGUUUAAAGAAAGUGUGUUGUUUUAUUUACAAGUCCAAUUUCAUUUUCAGUUAACAUUUUUUUAAACUGUUCACACUGGUUUCUUCAUCACACAGGUAAGACAGUUAUCAUACUAUACAAUUACUUAUAAAAAGAAACUUUAUCUAUAAAGCUCACUAAUAAUAACCAAUGGUUACGGGAUAGAUUUCCUUCAUCGCAUAUAUAUUAAGGCUUAUAUACUAUCUGCUUUUGGUUAAAGUAUAUUUUAACGGUAGGCCUAUUGUAAUUGAUGCUGGUGAGUGUAUCUAAUUAAACCUUUUUUAAUUGUAGUGCGAGAAUUUCAACCUCCAAACUGGACUGUGCAACAUAAACUGAAAACCCCCUCAAAAGAUAAAGCUGUGGUCAAUCCUCAUUGGCUAGAAGGAUCAAAAGAGCCUGUACAACAAGAUGCCCUUGCACUGGUGAAAAAGCCUUCACCAGCCACAGAGGAGAAGAAGCCACAUAUCAAGAGACCCAUGAAUGCAUUCAUAGUCUGGGCCAAGGGCGAGAGACAGAAGAUUCUUAAGGCUAACCCCAACAUGCACAACUCUGUCAUAUCCAAAAUUCUUGGUGCUAGAUGGAAAGAGAUGUCUGACUAUGAGAAGCAACCGUUUUAUGAGGAACAGAAAAGAUUGAUGAGAGUUCACAUGGAACAGCAUCCGGACUACAGGUACAGACCUCGACACAAACGUUCUCACAUCAG